rnacentral:rRNA from 1 species
UACGUAGGUGGCAAGCGUUGUCCGGAAUUAUUGGGCGUAAAGCGCGCGCAGGCGGUCCUUUAAGUCUGAUGUGAAAGCCCACGGCUCAACCGUGGAAGGUCAUUGGAAACUGGGGGACUUGAGUACAGAAGAGGAAAGCGGAAUUCCACGUGUAGCGGUGAAGUGCGCAGAUAUCAGGAGGAACACCGGUGGCGAAGGCGGGUCUCUGGGCCAUAACUGACGCUGAGGAGCGAAAGCGUGGGGAGCGAACAGG